rnacentral:lncRNA from 1 species
GGAGAGUUAGAAGCAAGCCACGUGGGUGACUUCUUUUCAAAGUUCUCUGCCUCAGAGGAGGAAGCCCCAUGGGUGGAGGCCAGGCCCGAGGCCAUCCUGCUCUGGGCCAGAGCGUGCCUGUGUCUGAUGAGCGAGGACAUGCCUCGUCUGGCUGAGCCUUCCAUUUCACACCGGCAGCUCGAACCCCCCAUCACGGCUUCCUUUUGGGCUCCCCUCCUCAGGGGACCGAGCUUGAAAUGUGCUUGCCCUUCAUCCCUAAGGCCUGCGUCCCUUCCUCAGAGAGGACUAAGCCCCUCUCCCAGUCUUGAUGUUCUCCGAGGCCCUUCUUAUUCACAGAACCUAUCUGGCUUAUUUAUUCGCUUGCUUGCUUCUGAUGUCUUCUCUUACUGAAAGGAAUCGAAGGGCCAAGGAAUGUGUUUUUCGUUGAUGUCAACUUGCUGCAAAGGACCACACCUGCUUCUCGACCCAGGAACGUGGGAAAGGGAAAGGCUUGGCUUGUUUUGGUGGAGAUGGAGAUGCUGGUAACAGUGGAGGAAUGCCCUCCUUCUGAUUCACAGUGGGGAGGUGCUCUGGGCCCCUGCCACUGCCCGAGGACUUCAGGUAAGUCAGCCCGUGGCCCCCAGCCCUUCCCUGCCAGACGCCCUGGCAGACGGCUUGUUCUGACAAGUAUGCGCUUUCUGGAUGGAACAGCCUCCCUUUUGUCCAAACCCUUCCUUUGAAUUUAAAAUGCACAAAGAACCUUUCGAAGAGGAAAAGAAUGGGAUCAGGAAGAGGAGGCUGUAUCUCAUUUGGACACUCAAGCCCUCAGCUCCUGCCCAAGAGUUUCUGGAAUUUGCUCCCACAUCACGUCAUGACUUUUGGCUCCCAGCCAGCUUUUGGUUGUCCUGCUGAGAGGAUGCGGCAUUUGAGCAGUAGCUUCUGGAGCCCAGAGUGAAGCCCCACCCAGGCACCCUGACAGGACCACAGGAAUGCUCCUGGCACAGCAAGCAGGACUCUUGAGAAGCUCAGCCUCCACGCUCCUUGUAGAUGUUCAGUUCAAACUCCACAGUUUGUGUGACUCACUGAAGGGCUUGGUUUGGCUCUCGCUGACGAGUCUGUCAUCGGUGCCAGCAUGCCAUUGGGCGUUUGCCAGACAGGGCCUAUCAUGUGGGCCCUACACCUAUUCACACACCUGCCAUUUGCCUUCAGAAUCCUGUUCCCAGUGGGUAAUGGGUUUAAAAGCCCAUAGCUGAGUUUAUCCACAUUGGAUCCGACCCACAUUCCAAUGCUCUUUAGACAACCGGGUUUCACCGUGUUAGCCAGGCUGGCCUCAAACUCCUGACCUCAAGUGAUCCACCCGCAUCGACCUCACAAAGUGCUUGGAUUACAGGUGUGAGCUACUGUGCCAGGCCAGAAAAAAUAAAAUAAAAUAAAAUAAA